rnacentral:rRNA from 1 species
UACGAAGGGUGCAAGCGUUAGUCGGAAUUACUGGGCGUAAAGCGUGCGUAGGUGGUUUCUUAAGUCCGUUGUGAAAGCCCUGGGCUCAACCUGGGAACGGCAGUGGAUACUGAGAGGCUAGAGUGUGUCAGAGGAUGGUGGAAUUCCCGGUGUAGCGGUGAAAUGCGUAGAGAUCGGGAGGAACAUCAGUGGCGAAGGCGGCCAUCUGGGACAACACUGACGCUGAGGCACGAAAGCGUGGGGAGCGAACAGG